rnacentral:rRNA from 1 species
UAGGGAAUCUUGCGCAAUGGGGGAAACCCUGACGCAGCGACGCCGCGUGAGUGAUGAAGGCCUUAGGGUUGUAAAGCUCUGUCCUUGGGGACGAAAUUUGACUGUACCCAAGAAGAAAGGACCGGCUAACUUCGUGCCAGCAGCCGCGGUAAUACGAGGGGUCCAAACGUUGCUCGGAAUCAUUGGGCGUAAAGCGGGCGCAGGCGGCUGGGUAAGUCAGGAGUGAAAGCCCUGGGCUCAACCCAGGAAGUGCUUUUGAUACUGCUCAGCUUGAGUGUGGGAGAGGGUAGCGGAAUUCCAGGUGUAGUGGUGAAAUACGUAGAUAUCUGGAGGAACACCGGUGGCGAAGGCGGCUACCUGGCCCAACACUGACGCUCAGGCCCGAAAGCGUGGGGAGCAAACA